rnacentral:rRNA from 1 species
GAUGAACGCUGGCGGCGUGCCUAAUACAUGCAAGUCGAGCGAACAGACGAGGAGCUUGCUCCUCUGAUGUUAGCGGCGGACGGGUGAGUAACACGUGGAUAACCUACCUAUAAGACUGGGAUAACUUCGGGAAACCGGAGCUAAUACCGGAUAACAUGUUGAACCGCAUGGUUCAACAGUGAAAGACGGUCUUGCUGUCACUUAUAGAUGGAUCCGCGCCGCAUUAGCUAGUUGGUAAGGUAACGGCUUACCAAGGCAACGAUGCCUAGCCGACCUGAGAGGGUGAUCGGCCACACUGGAACUGAGACACGGUCCAGACUCCUACGGGAGGCAGCAGUAGGGAAUCUUCCGCAAUGGGCGAAAGCCUGACGGAGCAACGCCGCGUGAGUGAAGAAGGUCUUCGGAUCGUAAAACUCUGUUAUUAGGGAAGAACAAAUGUGUAAGUAACUAUGCACGUCUUGACGGUACCUAAUCAGAAAGCCACGGCUAACUACGUG